CAAUAAUAGUAUGGGUGAAAGUGACACACUGAAAAAAAGGACAAACAGUUCCCUUUAAUGUUUGUUUUUAAGAAUGACUGCACGUUUGUAAUAAACUAACUUUUGGCCCAGUUGGUAUCAAGUUGAUUAUCACAUGGUUGUAUAACAAAACAAGUUGUCUUUGUAUUACUACUACUACUACUAUUAUUUUAAAUGUUUUCUACUUAUCUGAAAUGUUAUUUUUUAUUGCUCAUAGAUACUAAAUAUUGAACACACAAAUAUUUAUUAUGAAUUUACUGCACAUGAAUCAGCACCAUGCUGAGCAAACAUAGUUUAUGUAUUGUGUUUUGCAUGGGUUUCCCUUCAGAAACACAUGGUGUUGUGAAAAAAUUAAAAUAUUAAAUAUGUUUAAGAAGUAUGUAAGAAGUUGUUUAUAUGUAAAAGGUUUGUGACUUCUCAGAGGGACCCCAUUAAAGAUCCAGUCGUGCUGUGGUUAAAUGGAGGGCCAGGGUGCAGCUCUUUGGAUUUUGAUACAAAGUUGUAAGGAAUUUGUUGUUUAUUGAAGUUUUAUUAGUAAUAUAAUACUCCAAACCUAACCUUUAUGAAAACUGGAAAAAAAUUGCCAAUGUUCUGUACAUUGAGUCACCUGCUGGAGUAGGUUAUUCCUAUUCGGAUGACCAGAAAUAUGCAACCAAUGAUGAUGAGGUAAAUUGUACACAUUCAUAUACAGAUGUCUAUAAAAAUAAAUGUCUGAAAGAUAAAACAUGUACUUUGUCUUUAAAGGUGGCAGAUAACAACUUCCUGGCUUUGCAGCGUUUUUUCGCCAAGUUUCCUAAUUUCACCCAGAACGAGUUUUUCAUUUUCGGUGAGAGUUACGGAGGCAUCAAUGCACCUACGCUCAGUCUGAGAGUGGCUACGGGUGGUUGGCUUAAAGUAAACUUUAAAGGUAUAGCGGAAGAUUUUCCUGAAUUUUUUGGGAAAAAAACGCCCCUCCACUUUUUUUUUAACAUUUUGAAAAAACACGGUGAGAACGUGAGCUUCAAUGAAUGGCUGAAGCCAUAGCCCGCCACACAUAUACAUCUCAAAGUGCACAUGUGCAGAAACCAAACCUAGGGAAGAGCACGUACGAUGGCCUUACGUCAACAUAUAAUAAGAAUGAUUGACAACUGGGAUGACCAAUAGUCUUGAUGAUCCACCCGGAAAAAGAAAAUCUUCCGCUAUACUGCCCUACAAAGCGAAAGCGCAGUAACUACGCAUUUGGUCAAAAUUGAGUUAAGGGUUAAAAUGGGCUUUGUGAGAUCUGUUGUGUCUUGUGACAAAGUCUCCUGGUUAAAUUUUGUCCUAUUUCAGAGAAAUGUGUGUGCCAAAAUUGCAGUAACAUGUUUGACUGGCUGGUGUAAAAAACUUUAAAGCCAUUUUUCUCAGUUUCAGUGUUUGCGUAGAUACUGCACUUAGCCUUUGGAGGGCAGUAUACCUUUAAGGUAAAUUAAAAUAUUCUUUCACUUUAAAUCAAGUUUAUUGUUUUAGUGGUUUUAUACUUGUUUUAAUGAUUUUAUUGUUUUGUUUGGCUUCUGUUGUAGGGCUUUGCUGUGGGAAAUGGCAUUAGUAGUUUUGCACUGAAUGACCAAUCGCUAAUACUUCAGUUAUUAUCAUAGCCUAUUUGGGGAACAGAAAGCAAAAUCUAUUAUUUCUUUUAGUGUCCACUGGUUGUGUUUAUGAUGUAGUACUAACGUUAAAUGUUUUGAUGGAAAUAUACAUUUUUUGCUUCUGGAAGGACCUGAAUGACAAUUGUUGUCGAAAUGGAGUCUGUAACUUCUACAACAAUUCUAAAGAAUCUUGCUCUACUAACAUGACAGAUCCAUGUACACACACACAAGUAGUAGUAGUAGUAGUAGUAGUAGUUUAUUUAUAGAGCACAUUUUUAACAACAAGAUGUUGUACCAAAGUGCUGUACAGCAAUACAUAAUAAAAUGCAAAAACACAUCAUAAAACAGCACAUUGUAAAAGGACAUCACAAAACAACAUACACAUAGAAAGUCAACCAUCUCAACUCACUGAGUUUACACUUAAGAGGUGGGGACAGAUCUGAUAUGGAUAGGAAGAUUAUUCCAGAGCAGAGGAGCUGAAAAGGUCAGAUCACCCCUUUAUUUAAUUUGGUCCUCUGAACACAGAGGACCCCUUUUUGCUCAGACCUUAUACACCAGUGGUUGUCAACUCCAGUCUUCGGGACCCACUGCCCUGCAAAUUUUGGAUGUCUCUCAUAUCUGACACACUCAGUUCAGUUCAUGGAAUCUAUCCUAACGAGCUGAUGAUCUGAAUCAGGUGUGAUAAAUAAGGGAGACAUCCAAAAUAUGCAGAGCAGUGGGUCCCGAGAACUGGAGUUGAGAACCACUGUUAUACACCUUAAGAAGUUCAGAAUGAUCAAAGGGAGCUACAACAUUCAAACGCUUAUACACAAAGCAUAAGAGUUAAAAAUCAACUCUCAAUGCAAUAGGAAGCCACUCCUGUCAGGAUUUUGGACUGAUGAACCCAAGAGCAACGAUGAAGGGUUAACAAAAGACUUUUAUUACUAUCACUAGAAAAAACAAAAGCUCACGAGGGGACAAAACACAUCAACAAGAUACAGAGACUAACACAAAACUUGAAAAGUCAAAGCAGACAUAAAAGCAUAAAAUGGAUAGUAAAGUACAACACUCUCUUUCCAGGGUGCUGGCCACAUGGUUCCUCAGUGGGCUCCUGGUCCAUCUCUUCACAUGCUAGAGUUUGCUGUCUAAUAAGCUGGAUGGAUUUUUUUAAGGAACUGUAUGAAAAUAUGAUUUUUCUCAGGGACUGUAGAUGUAUGUGUUUUUAAAAAGCUUGAACACUCUGGGUGGUUUUAAAAGCUUCCAAUACCAUACAAUAGAGAUUUUGAUUAGAACUUGUUUUACUCCUGAAAUAUCUCAGACAAUUGCGCUUUUUAAAAUUCACAAUUUCCGUUUUGUAUAUAUAGAGACUGAGCAAAAUGUGGAUUAAGGAUCGCUAGGUGGCAGUAUAAGGUUGUGUUGCAAACCAGCAAUGCAGACGAAGAAGAAACGAGUAUAAAAGUAAUGGUCGCGAGGCGGCUGCGGCCCGUUUACAUGCGGUUUCUGACGCGUGGUGAUUUGAGAACAUCUAGUCAGGUACUACAUUUAUUAUUGUAAAUUAAAUAUUUUGUCUCGCCCUAAAGUUAGCGUGUUCACGAUUUCGUGCUCGUUUAACUGCACCGUGUUUAAGCUUCCGUGUCUCUGUGAUUCUGGGAGCUACGCUACGGUGCGACAGCACUUCUCUUAUUCAAACGUGAGCUUCACAUUAUUACUGGUUCUGCUCUUUUGAAUUGAGAAACAAUUGUAAUGGCAGCUGGAAGACGUCCAUAUACCCAUUAUACCAGAAGAUCAGCAGUUUUUUUUGUUUGCAGCAAUUUUCAAACGAAACAAAUCUUUAUGCAAGUCAUCAAAUAUAUUAAUGUAUGUAUUUAAUUUGUAUAUGCAACAAAAUUGUAUAGUACUACAAUUAAAAUUUGUAACUCCCAUUAAACAAUUUUUUACAAUCGACUGCAUUUGUUGUAUUAAAGUGCUUUAAAAUGCAUCAAAACCUGUCUCAGUAUUUUGUAAUAGUUUUGCCGAGUAAUUGUAAAUACAACGUGUAUACAAUAAAGCUUCCUAGUAUAUAAUAGUGAUGGGAGAAACGAAGCUUUCCAAAGCUUCGAAUCAAUUGAACCAAUUGCUUCUAAAAUUGAUUCGAAGCAGUUCGAAACACCACACACGCUGGCGACCACUGCUGGUCAAAAUAGUGUAAAAGCAGAUAUGUCCAAACAUUUUUACACUGUCUUUUACAAAAUAAUACCAAGAUUUGUAUUAAAAUGUUUAAAAAAAAUUAACUUAAGACAUGGUUAAAAGUGUAUUGUGUUUAGUUUUAUUUAGGGCAAACAAAUCAUUAAAACUAACUACCCUUUUAAUUAUGCACAUUUUUGGUCAUGAAAUCGGUCUAUAAACAAAAAGUAGACAAAAUGGCAGUGUUAUUAGUCAGAAGGAUAAAUGUUUUAUGAACUUGCAUAAUAAAACUGAUCCGAGUUCACCUAAACAUAUUAGACUAGACACUGGUCAUGUGAUCAUCUCCCCCUGGUGAUGAACCAUCGGAUUUUGGAAACGUUUCGAAACAGUUAUGACGUAAUGAAGCCUCGUUUGCUAAAAUCACGUGACUUGGGCCAGUUUGAAACACGCUCCGAACCACUGAUUCGAAACAAAAGAUUCGUAAAUGUUCCGAAGCCUCAUGAAGCAGUGCUUCGAAAACGACCAUAUAGUAUAUACUGUGUAAAUUAUAUUUUAAAAAGCUUGUGCUAGUCUUAUGAGACUUUGUGGUUCUGCAUGUGUAAUUAAAAACGACCCCAUAUUAUGCACUGUAUCCUAUCAUACUUCAGAUUUGCAAGAUUUUUUUAUUAACUUUUUUUAACAUGGCACUAAAUACACUAGUCAA